AUUGAACGCUGGCGGCAGGCUUAACACAUGCAAGUCGAGCGGGGUGAUGGUGCUUGCACUAUCACUUAGCGGCGGACGGGUGAGUAAUGCUUAGGAAUCUGCCUAUUAGUGGGGGACAACAUCUCGAAAGGGAUGCUAAUACCGCAUACGUCCUACGGGGGAAAGCAGGGGAUCACUUGUGACCUGGCGCUAGUAGAUGAGCCUAAGUCGGAUUAGCUAGUUGGUGGGGUAAAGGCCUACCGAGGCGACGGUCUGUAGCGGGUCUGAGAGGAUGAUCCGCCACACUGGGACUGAGACACGGCCCAGACUCCUACGGGAGGCAGCAGUGGGGAAUUUUGGACAAUGGGCGAAAGCCUGAUCCAGCCAUGCCGCGUGCAGGAUGAAGGCCUUCGGGUUGUAAACUGCUUUUGGACGGAACGAAAAGGUUUGGGCUAAUAAGCUGAGCUCAUGACGGUACCGUAAGAAUAAGCACCGGCUAACUACGUGCCAGCAGCCGCCGUAA
rnacentral:rRNA from 1 species